UACGAAGGGUGCAAGCGUUAAUCGGAAUUACUGGGCGUAAAGGGUGCGUAGGCGGUUGUUUAAGUCUGUUGUGAAAUCCCCGGGCUCAACCUGGGAAUGGCAAUGGAUACUGGCAAGCUAGAGUGUGUCAGAGGAUGGUGGAAUUCCCGGUGUAGCGGUGAAAUGCGUAGAGAUCGGGAGGAACAUCAGUGGCGAAGGCGGCCAUCUGGGACAACACUGACGCUGAGGCACGAAAGCGUGGGGAGCAAACAGG
rnacentral:rRNA from 1 species